rnacentral:lncRNA from 1 species
AAAAUGGGUCACUUAGCUAUUGGGAGAAUGAUGCGCUCCCUCACGGAGUUUCCAUAGAUGAUACAUGUGAGGCUUGCUGUGCUAAGAGAGCCCACACAAAGGCUUGCAGCCUGGAGAGAGGUGUGCUACACUGCAGGAUGUGCCAGAUGCAUGACCUUGUGCUUUCCAGUCCCUAUGUGAUGGGGGGGUGGGGAGAGGUUGUGAGACGGUCUCUUUCUCUGCCCUUUUUAUUCUGUAAUCUGUUUCCUUUCCUGUCAGCUUUGAGAAUCUGCCCUGCACCCCCACAAAGGAAAAAGAAAAAAAGAGAAAGGAAAAGAAAGCAAGGAUAGGUGUCUUGUAAAAUCCCUAGCAGUUGCCAUGGUAAUCCAGGCUCUCAGCUUGGUCUUAGCAGGACGUCGGGAUGCCUGUACAGAGACUGCUGAGCAUUGCAGGCUUUGGGGAAUCGCAGGGAGACCUUCCUGUCCAGCUGGGGAAACAUUCAUUCACUUCCUCCGUGGAAGGCCAGAGCAGAGAGAAAAAGAAACCCUGUCCUGCACAAACCCAGGAGCCCCUGCAUGGAAGGUUAGCAGGGGUUGAUUCCCCACCUGCAGGACUGUGCAGAUCUUUGUCUUCUGAGCUAAGGAACUACUGCUAACUUGCCUUGGCUAGUGUGAGGACUUGAUGUAUGUGGUCUGCCGGUGGGUUACAGCCACUGGCUCUCCAGCAGUACAAUCCUGGGGACGAUUUUGCUCCUGGCUCAGUGCAUGGAGGGAGGUCUGAGAAGAAACCAGAGCUUAAAGGUGAGCUAGCAGGCACACAGAUUUAGUGCAGUCAUUUUGAAAAGCAGUGUGACCAAAACUAUGGGAUGUUACUGGG